UUUAGAAAGAAAGACAAUUCUGUCUUAUGAGGCCGCCGUUGAGUUUGGAAAGAGUACUGAGCAGAGAGACCAGCAAAUAGACAAGAUAAGCCUCUAGGCUCCAAGAUGUGAGCACGCGAGGCCUUUGGUGCUGGGCACACGCUCAGAGGGUCUGUCGGAUCCAAAGAGACUUCUGAUCGUUUGACCCUCACUCUGGGGUCAUUCACCGGGAGCCGCUCAGGGUUAAAUUCGAGCUUCGUGGCAUCAGCUGCAACAAGUCACGAAACUUCCCUGAGCCUCAACGUGCCCGUCUGUAGAAGGGACUCGGGCUGCGAAGCCACUGCCCUGACGGGGAGGCUGCCGGGAGGGUUCUCGGGACGAGGCAGAGAGCACAGUGCGGCUCCAGGGAAUGAAAUUCAACCUCCUGUCAGCGGAAGCGCAGGGCCUGGCGGCUGCGUCUUACAGCAUUUACGGCCUCCUUGUGGAACCUGUACAGAUUAUAUUUUUUCCUCUUCACCCGAGGAUAUGUUUUUAUUUAUUUUC